GAUGAACGCUGGCGGCGUGCCUAAUACAUGCAAGUCGAGCGAACAGACGAGGAGCUUGCUCCUCUGACGUUAGCGGCGGACGGGUGAGUAACACGUGGAUAACCUACCUAUAAGACUGGGAUAACUUCGGGAAACCGGAGCUAAUACCGGAUAAUAUAUUGAACCGCAUGGUUCAAUAGUGAAAGACGGUUUUGCUGUCACUUAUAGAUGGAUCCGCGCCGCAUUAGCUAGUUGGUAAGGUAACGGCUUACCAAGGCAACGAUGCGUAGCCGGCCUGAGAGGGUGAUCGGCCACACUGGAACUGAGACACGGUCCAGACUCCUACGGGAGGCAGCAGUAGGGAAUCUUCCGCAAUGGGCGAAAGCCUGACGGAGCAACGCCGCGUGAGUGAUGAAGGUCUUCGGAUCGUAAAACUCUGUUAUUAGGGAAGAACAAAUGUGUAAGUAACUAUGCACGUCUUGACGGUACCUAAGCAGAAAGCCACGGCUAACUACGU
rnacentral:rRNA from 1 species